UACAGAGGGGGCAAGCGUUGUUCGGAAUUACUGGGCGUAAAGGGCGCGUAGGCGCCUGCUAAGUCGAACGUGAAAUCCCCGAGCUCAACUCGGGAACUGCGUCCGAUACUGGCAGGCUUGAAUCCGGGAGAGGGAUGUGGAAUUCCAGGUGUAGCGGUGAAAUGCGUAGAUAUGCGGAGGAACACCGGAUGGCGAAGGCGAAUCCCC
rnacentral:rRNA from 1 species